rnacentral:rRNA from 1 species
AGUGAACGCUGGCGGUAGGCCUGACACAUGCCAGUCGAACGGCAGCACAGUAAGAGCUUGCUCUUACGGGUGGCGAGUGGCGGACGGGUGAGGAAUACAUCGGAAUCUACUUUUUCGUGGGGGAUAACGUAGGGAAACUUACGCUAAUACCGCAUACGACCUACGGGUGAAGGCAGGGGAUCUUCGGACCUUGCGCGAUUGAAUGAGCCGAUGUCGGAUUAGCUAGUUGGCGGGGUAAAGGCCCACCAAGGCGACGAUCCGUAGCUGGUCUGAGAGGAUGAUCAGCCACACUGGAACUGAGACACGGUCCAGACUCCUACGGGAGGCAGCAGUGGGGAAUAUUGGACAAUGGGCGCAAGCCUGAUCCAGCCAUACCGCGUGGGUGAAGAAGGCCUUCGGGUUGUAAAGCCCUUUUGUUGGGAAAGAAAAGCAGCAGGUUAAUACCCCGCUGUUCUGACGGUACCCAAAGAAUAAGCACCGGCUAACUUCGUG